rnacentral:rRNA from 1 species
UACGGAGGUGGCAAGCGUUACUCGGAUUGACUGGGUGUAAAGGGUCCGCAGGCGGUCAAGUAUGUAAAAGGUGAAAUCCUUAGGGCUCAACCCUAGAAUAGCCUUUUAAACUGCUUGGCUUGAGGUUGGGAGAGGAGAGCGGAACUGACGGUGUAAAGGUGAAAUUUGUGGAUAUCGUCAGGAACGCCCGAGGAGAAGUCGGCUCUCUGGCCCAAAUCUGACGCUCAGGGACGAAAGCUAGGGGA